rnacentral:rRNA from 1 species
AUUGAACGCUGGCGGCAGGCCUAACACAUGCAAGUCGAGCGAGCGGCGGACGGGUGAGUAAUGUAUGGGGACUGCCCGUUAGAGGGGGCUAACUACUGGAAACGCUAGCUAAUACCGCAUACUAUCGGAUAACCCAGAUGGGAUUAGCUAGUAGGUGAGGUAAUGGCUCACCUAGGCGACGAUCCCUAGCUGGUCUGAGAGGAUGAUCAGCCACACUGGAACUGAGACACGGCCCAGACUCCUACGGAGGCAGCAGUGGGGAAUAUUGGACAAUGGGCGCAAGCCUGAUGCAGCCAUGCCGCGUGUAUGAAGAAGGCCCUAGGGUUGUAAAGUACUUUCAGUCGGGAGGCGUUACCGACAGAAGAAGCACCGGCUAACUCCGUGCCAGCAGCCGCGGUAAUAC